rnacentral:Y_RNA from 1 species
GGAUGGUCCGAGUGCAGUGGUGUUUACAACUAAUUGAUCACAACCAGUUACAGAUUUCUUUGUUCCUUCUCCACUCCCACUGCUUCACUUGACUAGCCUUUA